rnacentral:rRNA from 1 species
UGCCCGAUGGAGGGGGAUAACUACUGGAAACGGUAGCUAAUACCGCAUAACGUCGCAAGACCAAAGUGGGGGACCUUCGGGCCUCACACCAUCGGAUGUGCCCAGAUGGGAUUAGCUAGUAGGUGGGGUAAUGGCUCACCUAGGCGACGAUCCCUAGCUGGUCUGAGAGGAUGACCAGCCACACUGGAACUGAGACACGGUCCAGACUCCUACGGGAGGCAGCAGUGGGGAAUAUUGCACAAUGGGCGCAAGCCUGAUGCAGCCAUGCCGCGUGUAUGAAGAAGGCCUUCGGGUUGUAAAGUACUUUCAGCGGGGAGGAAGGCGGUGAGGUUAAUAACCUCGCCGAUUGACGUUACCCGCAGAAGAAGCACCGGCUAACUCCGUGCCAGCAGCCGCGGUAAUACGGAGGGUGCAAGCGUUAAUCGGAAUUACUGGGCGUAAAGCGCACGCAGGCGGUCUGUUAAGUCAGAUGUGAAAUCCCCGGGCUUAACCUGGGAACUGCAUUUGAAACUGGCAGGCUUGAGUCUCGUAGAGGGGGGUAGAAUUCCAGGUGUAGCGGUGAAAUGCGUAGAGAUCUGGAG